rnacentral:tRNA from 1 species
GCGAGGGUAGCCAAGCGGCCAAGGCGAGCGGCUGCAACCCGCUUAUUCAAGGGUUCGAGUCCCUUCCCUCGCU